rnacentral:misc_RNA from 1 species
GUUAAAAUCUCUAAAUACAAUAAGUCAAAAUCUCUAUGUUGAUUUUUGAAUUUUAGAUAAAAAAUUUUUAAUUUUAAAAUUUAUAAUUAAAUUAUUUAAAAUUAAAAAAUUUUAAAUAUAAUAAUAACUAAUAUAUAAGUGCAUGGUUAGUGCCAAAUUGUUGGUUUCCAAGGAAGAGUGAUCUCAUAGCUAGUAGAAUAAAAGUGGGACACUUGUUUCCUAAUAAUGGGAAUGAUCUUGUUAUAUAAAUAUUCUGAAAGAAUGAGUGGUUAUAAUGAUAAAGAUUUUUUUUCUUUUUAAUUAAGUUGAGAAAUGGGGU